ACACACACACAGUGCAACUGUUCCUUUUCGUCUUAGCUGAGUUCGCCUCAAUGUACAACUUUCAAUUCCCUGGCUGUAGGAAAUCUGUUGCCAUAGGAACGCCUGUGUUAUCAGUUGUUGGCACUGUGUUUUAGUUGACGAGUUGUCAGUUUGAAUAGGAUCCCCUGACACAGCUAACAGGCUGUUAUUCGUUUGAUUCAUUUGAUUACAGGUGAAAACGACAGACUGGAUCGCAUUGAUUUUACCAUGUUUGGUUAAUCUAUUCAUAGACAAUUGAACUGGCAGAUAUAGUCUCCUUGCCUGUGAGGCAAUAUUGUCCAAUGGCAUCUCAGAAAUCAACUGUCUCUCUCACUUUCACUGGUUGGAGAAGGCAGUAAGCAGGUCUCGCUUCGGUCAAAUACUUCACUAAGUGCCAAUGAAAAGAACAUGACAAUUCAAGAAUGACCUACCUAAUUAAAUUGCACUAAAUUGCACUGCACAAAUAUGUGUUUUUAUACAUGGAGAUUUUAUACACACAUAUUUUGAAGUGAAAUAAAUUUUAGUUUUGGUGGUCGUCACUGCUGGUUGGUUUUAUGGGCUUUCAGGGAUGGUGCAGCUGAACUUGUUGGGUCCCCCAUGAGCAGUGUGGAGCUGACCACAGUGGAGCUGACCACAGUGGUGUUGACCACAGUGGUGUUGACCACAGUGGUGCUGGUGUCUGUGGAGCUGACCACAGUGGAGCUGACCACAGUGGUGCUGGCGGUGCAGUGAGUAGCAGCAUGGCAAGGGAAGUCCCAGUCGUCCUGUUCUGUCCGAUGCGUCACCUAGACUCGAGUACAGAGGGCUCAGAGGACCUCCCUGACCUGGCCCUCCAAGCCUGUCACCCAGAACAGACACUCUGCUCUGAUGCCAGUCCUGAUCUAACCACCAACUGUUGUUGUCUUGACAACAGAUACUCCACAGAAUUUUAGUGCCAGAAGUUUGUUUCCUUAUGUAAUCAGCUUUCACAAACCCUUGGUCUUCCUUUAAAUAGAGGCUUAAGCCUUUUAGAUGUUCUUCUGAUAGGAGUGGGUUUGUACAGUUGUUGUCUUACCCACCUCUCCAAGCUCUCUCUCUCUCCACCUCCAGUUAAAGCACUUGUGAGUUUGGCGUUCUGGCAGCUGAUAGGCUUUGUGAAGCCAAUCAAUAGUCAUGUCUCCUGCACCUGUCCCCACUCCAACUGCCGUUUAUUGCACUAACGUGGACUACAGGGUCACAGGUCAGGCACAUGUCAGUAUGACCUGGCCUAAGAUGGACCCUUGAUGGUACCACAUAAUGGGGUACCAGUUGCUAACUGAUUGUGGAUCAGCCUCCACGGGUAACUCAGACAUUUUGGGGUUAUGGGAGUUGGAGUGGGGACCAACCAGUCUUUGAUUGUGUGUGUGUGUGUGCGUGUGUGUGUGUGUGGGGGGGGGGGAGGGGUCUGGAGCUUCAUGAAAAGGGGAAAAUAGGCAAGCAGUGACAAUGAAGAGAUGGGAGUUGUAGUUUCAGGCCUUUCCUGUACAUAUGCAACAAAAAGGAACCAUGCGGCUUGUUCAGUUAGGAUUGUUUUCUGUGUUGUUCUAUUUCUGUUUUAUGAAAAGGAAAACAUUUUUUAAGUAGAGUUGCUCAGAAUUAUUUCUUCUAUUUUUUAAAAGGCAAAUGAGAAACUAUAGUGACUUUGUUUAUUGUAGAUUAGAAGCAAAGGGGAGAGAAAAGAAAACACGUGAAUGUAAAAUCUACAAAAAGAAACGUUUUUUUUUCUCUUCCUGUUUUGGACGUUUAUUUUCUUGCGUGUAGUGAGCCUGUAGAGAGCAUUCCGACUUCAGUAUCUACAAUAUAUACUCAUAGACAUACAGUUGACUUAUCAUGCAUUCUGUAUCAUAUCAAUAACACAACCAUGCAGUAUUGCUUUAAUUUCUUUUGUGCAAUGAGAUGCUUUAAUUGGAAGAACUAACUGUGUCAGAAACACAGAGGCCUCAGAUGAUCACUGUCUUUCUGUCUUUCUGUCUUUCUGUGUCUUUCUCCCAGCCAAAUAUUGAACAUCUUGUUAUUGUUUAAUGUUUUGUGUGGUAUUGAUGUUAUGUUGUUGUUGUUGGGCAGGAUCACCCUUUGGCUCCUGGUUUGAGGGAUUGUUUUAUCUUUAGGGAACUACUGUCCUGCCCUGAACAUUCCAACAGGCGCGCUUGCCACCAUGUCUUGUCUAUCCUAGUCUUCCCCUUGUCCUUUCACGACAUGGCUUCUCUUUUUCCUUCCUUAGUUUGUUUCUCCUUCUUCCACCUCUCGCUUUCAAGAUUUACUGUAGUCCCGCCCACGUUACCCAGUAUGUUAAGCUAACCAAACCCCUCAAAUGUGCAGCAGACAGAAAAGUUUUCCAAAUGUUUCCCUCGCUGUGUACUGAAUGUCCAAGUUGUCAUGUUUGACUCAGCAGCAACAAUGCCAAUGGAUCUCCAUCCAAAACAAAUGUAUCACUUUGCUACGGCAGCUCCUCUGAACUCUCUGCUUACUCUACUAUGUCCUUAUGUCACACACCUUCCUUCUUUCUUUCUUUCUUUCUUUUUUUUGAUUGUCUGUUUCUGCUAAUAUGUUGUGUCUUUACUGAGCCUUAAUAUGUCUGGUGUGAAACUGACCUUAUUGUUGCUUUAUAUUUUUCACUUUUAUUGAUCUAUUGAUGUUCUCUCAUUCUCUGUGGUUCAGAGUGAGAUGGUUGUUUUGCAUGUCCAGCAUCAUAUUCUCCUGUCAGUACAACACUGAAGGCUUAGUUGAGUUGUCCUUCUACACGGAUUAAAGAUCAGUGCACAGUACAUUUCCAAACCUUAUACAUUUACAUUUAGUCAUUUAGCAGACGCUCUUAUCCAGAGCUUAUAGGUGCUUCCCCACCAGCAAAUGGUUUUAAUGUCAAAUACAGACUUGUUCUGCUGUAGUACACACGUUAACACUUCAAGGGGAAUUUGAAAUUCUUGCAUACAUGUUGCAUUGAGUACCUUUCCACACUGCUGACCUAAUUUCCAAGUCUAAGGGCAAUUCUCUUUCCAUUUAGACUCUUGUUGUGUGACCAGUGGUCCUCCACACAGACAGAGGGUGCUAUCUAGUCUACAGCAGUGGGGUCAUCCAGCCUGCAACAUGACACUCAUGGGCUGUCCAGCCUCAAGUGUUAGAAUAGAAACAUUACAGGAAGAUGCUGAUAUGUAAUAGAUGUUGUGUAAAUGUGAUUGAAGAGAAAUAAAAGUGAAUGGGUUAAAUCUUC